AACGGCGAGUGAAGCGGUAACAGCUCAAAUUUGAAAUCUGGCUCCUCUGGAGUCCGAGUUGUAAUUUGUAGAAGAUGCUUUGGGUUGUGGGUUCGGCCUAAGUUCCUUGGAACAGGACGUCAUAGAGGGUGAGAAUCCCGUAUGUGGCCGAGGCCCGCGCCUAUGUAAAGCUCUUUCAACGAGUCGAGUUGUUUGGGAAUGCAGCUCAAAAUGGGUGGUAAAUUUCAUCUAAAGCUAAAUAUGGGCCAGAGACCGAUAGCGCACAAGUAGAGUGAUCGAAAGAUGAAAAGCACUUUGGAAAGAGAGUUAAACAGUACGUGAAAUUGUUGAAAGGGAAGCGCUUGCACCCAGACUUGGGCGCUGCUGAUCACCUUGCGGUCUCCGCGAGUGCACUCGACAGCGCACAGGCCAGCAUCGGUUCGGGUGGCUGGAUAAAGGCCGUAGGAACGUAGCUCCCUUCGGGGCGUGUUAUAGCCUACGGUGCCAUGCAGCCCAGCCGGACCGAGGACCGCGCCUUCGGGCUAGGAUGCUGGCGUAAUGGGUGUAAGCGACCCGUCUUGAAACACGGACCAAGGAGUCUAACAUCUAUGCGAGUGUUUGGGUGGCAAACCCAUACGCGGAAUGAAAGUGAACGUAGGUGAGAACCCCUUGGGGGCGCAUCAUCGACCGAUCCUGAUGUCUUCGGAUGGAUUUGAGUAAGAGCAUAGC
rnacentral:rRNA from 1 species